AUGGCCACGGCCCUCUCCCUCGGCGGUGCCGGCGCCGGCGCCGCCGGCCACCUCCUCCGCAGGCGCCCCGCCUCCGUGGCCAGGUGCUGCGCCGCGCCCCGCCGCAGCUCCCCCUCGCGCCGCCGGGCCCCGACGCGGCGCCUGGCCGCCUCGCGCGCGGACGACUCCUCGCCGGCGCCCUUCGAGAUGACGGUGGAGGGCGCGCUCAAGCUGCUCGGCGUCGCCGAGGGCGCCUCCUUCGACGAGAUCCUCCGCGCCAAGAAGGCCGUCGUCGCCUCCUGCAAGGACGACCCGGACGCCGUCGCCCAGGUCGAGGUUGCCUAUGACAUGCUGCUAAUGCAGAGCUUAUCGCGCCGGAGGGCUGGCAAGGUUGUCGAUAGCAGCGUCCGCUACGCCGAUGUGAAACCUGUCAAGACUGCAGGAACAGCACCGCAAUGGAUGCAGUCAGCCAUGAAGAACGUGCCUCUCACAUUGGAGGCCCCAGCUUCGAGCAGCUUGGGCAUCCAGUCAUCCAUUUAUGCAACAGGAUUCGGUGCUUCAUUGUAUUUUCUGUCCAAGAAAAACAUGAACUUAGGUAAGGCCGCAUUGAUCACCGUCGGGGGGCUGGCAGUCGGUGCGACGGUCGGGUCCGGCGUGGAGAGCUGGCUGCAGGUUGACAUUGUGCCCUUCCUGGGCAUCCACUCCCCCGCGGUCGUCGUCACCGAAUUCAUUCUCUUCUCGCAAUUGUUGGUGUCGCUGUUCGUUAGGUAG
rnacentral:rRNA from 1 species